AGCGAACGCUGGCGGCAGGCUUAACACAUGCAAGUCGAGCGGGCGUAGCAAUACGUCAGCGGCAGACGGGUGAGUAACGCGUGGGAACAUACCUUUUGGUUCGGAACAACACAGGGAAACUUGUGCUAAUACCGGAUAAGCCCUUACGGGGAAAGAUUUAUCGCCGAAAGAUUGGCCCGCGUCUGAUUAGCUAGUUGGUAGGGUAAUGGCCUACCAAGGCGACGAUCAGUAGCUGGUCUGAGAGGAUGAUCAGCCACAUUGGGACUGAGACACGGCCCAAACUCCUACGGGAGGCAGCAGUGGGGAAUAUUGCGCAAUGGGCGAAAGCCUGACGCAGCGACAGGGCUUUACGACCCGAAGGCCUUCAU
rnacentral:rRNA from 1 species